UUGAACUGAAGAGUUUGAUCAUGGCUCAGAUUGAACGCUGGCGGCAGGCCUAACACAUGCAAGUCGAGCGGAUGAAAGGAGCUUGCUCCUGGAUUCAGCGGCGGACGGGUGAGUAAUGCCUAGGAAUCUGCCUGGUAGUGGGGGACAACGUUUCGAAAGGAACGCUAAUACCGCAUACGUCCUACGGGAGAAAGCAGGGGACCUUCGGGCCUU
rnacentral:rRNA from 1 species